rnacentral:rRNA from 1 species
ACUUAAAUUGAAGAGUUUGAUCAUGGCUCAGAUUGAACGCUGGCGGCAGGCCUAACACAUGCAAGUCGAGCGGUAGCACAGAGAGCUUGCUCUCGGGUGACGAGCGGCGGACGGGUGAGUAAUGUCUGGGAAACUGCCUGAUGGAGGGGGAUAACUACUGGAAACGGUAGCUAAUACCGCAUAAUGUCGCAAGACCAAAGUGGGGGACCUUCGGGCCUCAUGCCAUCAGAUGUGCCCAGAUGGGAUUAGCUAGUAGGUGGGGUAACGGCU